AUGAACAUGUAAUUUUAUUAUUCACUAACAACGGUGAGUCAUUUGUUAAAACUCUUAAUCAAGUAAAUGGGUUAUUUUGUUUGAACACUAGUAAACAUCAACUAUAUAAUGUUAUUAACACUUCAAAAAAAUUGACCAGAAAUUAUAAAAAGGAUUGUACAAGUUUUAUUGAAUUUUGUAAUCAGCCCUUUACACACCACACACCAAGUGUGUCAAUAAUAAAGGCAAUGCAUCUUAAACAGAGUAGUUCGUUGGUUACAGUUGAAGAGUCUUCUUUUAACAUCCCAUUAACAUAUUUCUAUUUUACCUUCAGUUAUUGGAGAACCUGCAAAUUCCAUUGAAAAUGAUGCAAGGAUGCAUACAUCAAGAGUACAGCUAACCUCUAAAAAAGCAUCACCAGGUUAUUAUAUUUAUCUUCUUAGUUAGUUAGCUCAACCAGAGAACACAAAAAAAUAGCAAAUGUUAAAUUGAAAUAUAAUAGCAUGCCAUAUAAGCUAAAAGUAUUUUUAAAAAAUAUCAAAAGAAAAGAAGAUAUUAUUAAAGCUUUGAGGACAGAAGUUAGAGAAUUAAAAAAAAAAAUUAAUACGUAUUAUUACAGCAAGUUAACAUCUUAAAGCGAGACAAAGGCAUUUAAAAUAAAAGAAAAAAAAUUUAAUGCAAAUAAAAGUAAGACAUAAAACUGAUGUUGAUGCAAAUAAAAUGUUUAGUGAUCAAUUAGAAAAUGACAUGUUACAAAUAAAAGAGGGAAAAUUUUUAAAUGUUAAUAUGUCAGAAGACGAUAAGAGUUACUCUUUAAAAAUAAGGAUGAUAAUUUGUAGCAUGUUAUUAGCUAAUGUGCCAACAGGUAACAUCGGAAUCUUAAUUAUAAAAAUUAAUCCUAAAAUUUACCAAUAUUUGGGUGUUAACUUUAAUUUGCAAAAUGUUUGGAUAUGAUUGUAUGGCAGUCAAAAUUGGGUUAGCAAUGAACAAGAUGAGGUUUAAGGAUGGCAAAGGUGAUCCACGGGGAUUUGUUAAUUUUUUAGUCAAUAAUGAACUACCGCGAAGUAUUGUUCCAUGGUAUCGUGGAAACCGUCUGCACAUUCUUUUCCAUACUUGUUUUAUUUUUAUGAAAACUAUACUGCUUUUCUACUUUAUCUGACCACUGGAACAGUAAAAUAUUUCAGUUUACAACCAAUUCUGCUAAAAGCCUUUCGUAAUGCAACUGCUAUAAAACAAAUGGGAGUGCUUGCACUAUUUAGUAAACUUUUCAGUGGACCAUGGAUGACUAAGUUUUAUGUAUCAGCUGAUGAUACAUGUUUUGAUCAUGUCACUGGUAUUCAGGUAGUAUAAGAUGUUCUAAAAGAAGUUACUAAUUGCAAGUCUGAUCCAGCUGCACUAUUUUGCAGAGAAAUUGAUUUUUUUGCAAAAACCCUUGUCCCUAAUAUUUUACAGUCUAUUACAACUUUAUGCCCCAUUGAUGAACAACUUGCAAAAAUGACUUCUGCUUGUCUUAAUGCAGUUAAAGAAGUCUUGACUCGUCAAUAUAAGAGAUAUUUCUUCCUUUUUAUUUCAGCAGAACUCAAAAAGGAGACAGCUUGUGCAAGGCUUCACAAUAUAGAUAGUGAAGAAUUAAUUGGUAUGUUUAGUGAUGCCAAAGUACGAUGCCCUAAUGCAACAAUUUGUUAUAUAUCUAGAAAAUUAAGAUCCAAAAUGACUAUAGACUAUCUUGAGAACCUUGAGGAGUUUUGUAGGGAAAAGGUGAUUAAAUGGUCUAUUUACAUGGCACGUAAAAAAAGAAUCAAAAAUUGACUACUACAUAAUGAAAUUCGAGCAGAGAUUGCUGGUAGACAGGCGUUCAAGCGCCAAAAAGUGGACGAAAAAAAAAAAGAAAGUUAGAGCGUGAGCUGUGUUUAUUAACUACCAGUGAAAUGAUGCAUAAAUAUAAACACUUGUCUGCGAAGCAAUUAGAAGAUUUAGAUGAUGUUAUGUCAGAAAGAAUUGUUGGCAGAAAACUUGGUCAUGAGUGGUAUGAUGCUGACUGUUCAAAAUCUGUCCUUUAUGAUGGUAGAGUUGAAAAGGUACACAAGAGCCAACAAGACAAAAUUUACACUAUUUCUUACUGGAAAAAAGAUAAAACUGAUCUUUAAGCUGUUGAAUAUAAGAUAAAAAAAUACAGCUUGCAGCUGAUGUUAUAACAGGAGAAUUAAUAUUUUCUUAAUUUCAAUAUGAAAAUAAUUUAAAUUAUGUAUAAUUAUAUUCAUAUAAUUAGAAGUUACCAAAGGAGUACCGCAAGUUGUGUAGCUUGCAAAUAUGGUACAGCAAGUUGUGUAGCUUGCAAAAGGAGUACCGCAAGUUGUGUAACUUGCAAAUAUGGUACAGCAAGUUGUGUAGCUUGCAAAAGGAGUACUGCAAGUUGUGUAGCUUGCAAUUAUGGUACAGCAAGUUGUGUAGCUUGCGAAGUUUGUUUGAUAGACGGCUCUGGAUUACCUUCACAUAGUGUCUAUUGUUAAAAAUGAUUUAUUAUAUUUUAAUUACUGGAAUUCUAAAUAAUAUCAUUUACUAAAAGCCAAGACAUUAAUUUAUAUAUUUUGUAUUUUAAAACUUUUUAAAAUAUAAGUUUUAAAACUGUGGUUAAUUUUUAGGGUGGAUACUCCAACCUGCAUCUUGUAAUGUGGUUGGAGAAGACUGAGAGGAAGGGGGAGGGGCGUUAAGCGUGGCAUCGUCCCGCCCUCUAAUGUCAGUUUAUGCACCACUUGUAUAUGCUGUUAAGUAUACACAAAAUAUAAUUUAAACUUUUUAACACAAAACAUAAUCAGUGUUUUUUAGGUUCAAAUAUUUAUAAGAUUAUAACAUUUCACUAUGAGGGUGUUAAAACGUAACAAUGACAUCCACCCUUUAAUCUAAAAUAGACCGCUAAUAUUUGGAAAUGUAAUGGAAGCAAAUUAGAACAACUUUUUCUGUAUAAAGAUAACAAAUUUUAUUAGGAAAAUACUCUUUUGUGUGAAAAACAUGUAUUUUUUUAAGGUUACGAUGGUGUUCCAAUACCCCCUUUGGCCCUCUAGACACCCCUUUUAUCUAUAGAGGUAUAUGAACUUGUAGCCUACUCUUACAUCUAUCUUUUGAUACCAAGGUAUAGGUAUUUAGAUAAAAUUUGACAAAGAUAUAACAAUUUCAGUGAAAAAUAAAUAAAUUUUGGAACCAGUUUCUUCAAGAAAUCAAUAUAUCAAAAUUUUGCUACUAAAAACGUCAUAACUUUUUUUUAAAUUGUUUGUUUUUAAUUUUUAAUUGUUCUUCAAUAAUUUUUUCACCAUUAAAAUACUUUAUUGAAGGGCUUUCUAAUGAUAUAAAACAUUCUAGUAUAUUACAUGUCAUGUUAUUCAUCAAGGAAAAUAUAUUCAGAAAGAUCAAAUCGUUUAAAGAAGAGGAAUGCUGAAAAAGUGCUUAUUGAAGAGAAUAGUAUUAACAGCUGUUUACAAGAAGAAAUUGUUGAUGAAUCCAAAACUGUCAAAAUUAUAAGGGAGAUAAGAGAAGAAAACGAGAAGUUAAAAAACUUAAAUAAAAAACUAAAAGAAGACAGUGAAGCAGAAUUUGAUUUUCUUCAAAAGUCAAAAUAUAUUAUACAAAAAAUAAUAAAUAUAAAUACUGCACUUGUCAAGAAAAACAAAAUAUUGAAAAAUCAAAUUGAUGAGGCUACUUUUAAAUUAAUAAAAGAUAAAAAGAAAAUUCAAUUUUAUACAGGUCUUCCUGAUAUACAUGUUUUUAAACAUGUUUUUAACUUAAUUGAAAACCAUAUUCCAGCUAAUAACUCUUCAACUAUGACAAAGUUGCAAGAAUUUUGUAUUAUUUUAAUGAAACUGCGUCUAAAUUUGCUGUAACAAGAUAUAGUGUACAGAUUUGGUAUGAUUCAACCAACCGUAUCACGAAUCUUUUAAUCACGAAGCCAUUCCUUUGAGAAAUGGCUUCUUGUAAUGGCACGCAGACUAUACUUUUUGAUAAAGUGGCCAGAGAGAAGUAUAUUCAGGAGAACAAUGCCAAUUUGUUUUCGAGAAUUUUUUUCUAAAUGUGUUGUAAUUAUUAACUGCUUUGAGAUUUUUAUUGAAAAACCAAAAGAUCUGACAGCUAAAGCUCAAACUUUUUCUAAAUAUAAACACCAUAAUACUAUUAAAGUUAUAAUUGUCAUUACUCCACAAGAAUCGAUAUCAUUUGUUUCAGAAGCUUGGGGUGGAAGAGUAUCUGACGUUUAUAUUACAGAAAAUUCUGGAAUAUUAAAUAAUCUACUUAUUGGUGAUCAGUUGUUAGCUGACAGAGGUUUUACCAUUGCAGAUUCCGUUGGUUUAUAUUGUGCCGAAUUAAAACUUCCUGCUUUUACACGAGGAAAGUCUCAGCUAUCUCAAAUAGAAGUUGAUUGGACGCGAGAGAUUGCCCGUGUACGAAUACACGUUGAACGUUUAAUGUAAACUAAAGAAUAUUUUAACUGUUUGCUCUGCUUUAUUUAAUCUUUGUUAUGGAGUAGUCCCUAUAGAUUGACUUUUAUUUUAAUAUAUAAAAAUACAUAAAUGUAGUAUUAUGUUUAUUUAUUCAUUUAAACCUUUUUUUUUAAUUCUAGUUUUAUUGUGGCAACAAUAUGGGCAAAACCAUUUUCCAAUUGGUUUACUUGUAAGUCCAAGACAAUUAAGAUGAUAGAUUUUUAUAACACAAGCUAAAUCAAAACAUUUAAUUAUAAUACUCUCUUUAAUUUCACGGCAAGUACAUAUUGUUUUAAAAUUGUUAUUUUUUUUUAAUGCCCCAAUAUUUACAAAAGUAUUAUGAUUUCUAGAAUACCAUUUGGCAAGGAGUUCAGGCAGUAUCACUAAAAUAAAAAAAUCUCUUGGUUUGUUUAAGUUUUCAGUGAAGAAUUCUUAUCAACAUAAAUUUUUUCAACUGGCUUCACCAUUAUACACGAUAAAAUAACAAAUCGGAAUAUUUGAAAUUAACAUUUGUAGCUGAACUUUAUAAUAAUAUUGAUGAGUUCUUUUUAAA